UACGAAGGGGGCUAGCGUUGCUCGGAAUCACUGGGCGUAAAGCGCACGUAGGCGGGUCGUUAAGUCAGGGGUGAAAUCCUGGAGCUCAACUCCAGAACUGCCCUUGAUACUGGCGAUCUCGAGUUCGGGAGAGGUGAGUGGAACUGCGAGUGUAGAGGUGAAAUUCGUAGAUAUUCGCAAGAACACCAGUGGCGAAGGCGGCUCACUGGCCCGAUACUGACGCUGAGGUGCGAAAGCGUGGGAG
rnacentral:rRNA from 1 species